rnacentral:ribozyme from 1 species
AUGCUGUUGAAUUGGGCGGAUACCUGUUUCUGUUUAUUGUACGAAAUUUAUUUUAGACAUUGAAAUGGGAUAGGGGGUUAUAUAAUAUUUUUCAAAUACUUCUUUCAAAUUACAAAUUGGCAUUUCUUCUUUGAAAAUGAGCAUGAGCUUUAGAGACAGGCCUGGCUCCGGG